CUUCUUUGUGGAAAUGAAGUUCUUCCAUGGGAUAACCUAAACCGCUUAUUAAGCUGAUGACUUCUACGAGUUU
rfam:Eubacterium cylindroides T2-87 draft genome.